rnacentral:lncRNA from 1 species
AUGUUGUCCCCUUUUAUUCAUAACCUAGUCUCGCUCCCUCUGAUUUUGGCCCAUACUUAUGUCAAUACAUUUACCACCUCUCUUUCUCUGCUUUGUUUUGUUCUCUCUUCUCUCUCUCCUCUAUCUCUCUUCUCUCUCUCCUCUCUCCUCUCUCUCUCCUCUCUCUAUCUAGUAUGGUGGUUGUGGUGGCCCCUCAACUGUCUUGUUUCCCAUUUGUAUCUCUGGAGAGAGUGUGCACACCACUGGAGACGUUGCACUCCUUCUCUCUGUCUGACAGUCCUCUACCCCAGUCUGCAGGAGAGUGGGCCCAGGUGUUGCAGCUCCAGAGACAGUUCCACCAGGCCCAGCUGGGCAAAUGGCAACAGAUCCUCCAAUCCUCAGUCACUCUGCUAGACCAGAUGAAACAGUCGUUGGAAAAGCUCCACCGUGGCGUCGUCACUCCAGAAGUCCAGCAGGAUCCCCCCUCAAACCCCACUUCAGAGUCUCUCACUGAGCACUGAUCCUCCAGCCAUCACCAGCCCUCAAGUGGGUAUGAAUAGACCACGGGGGAGGUAGCCAGAGGGGGAGGGUCCGGCUGGGCCAAUCAGGGAGAGUGACUCACUCUCACCCGACCCCGAAGCUCCACUCCUGCUUCUCUACUCAAAACAGACAGGGAGAGAUGUGGGGGGAGUGGGAAUUACCUGUAAGGGGAUCUUCACUACCCAUAACUCCCCACGCCUCAGUUUGAGCAACCUGCAAUGGGUUUGGGGGGUGAGAGACCUUUGGGGGGACUACACUACCCAUAAUUCCCCACACCUCAGUCCAAGUUCCACCUUCCAUAGUCACCACCACCUCUCACGUCCAGACAGUUAGACUGGGAAUGUCUUCAGGACUACAGCAAUAAUAUUGUCAUUACAUUACCAUAUCUCCCACAGUCAGGGCUAAAGGCUGGCCAAUUUGUAUAGUACCAUCUGCUCCUCACAUGCAACCAACCAUGCUGCUCUCCCUGAACCAUCUCCCCUGCCUGAGCAGCCAAGAUACAUUUUCAAGACAGACCAUCGACUACAUUUCAGCAUGUGCAGCCCUGCUGCUGCAUUUCAAAUGGAUAGACUCGGGUCCAACGCAUUUCAAAUGGAUAGACUCGGGUCCAACGCAUUUCAAAUGGAUAGACUCGGGUCCAACGCCCUUUCAAAUGGAUAGACUCGGGUCCAACGCAUUUCAAAUGGAUAGGACUCGGGUCCAACGAUUUCAAAUGGAUAGACUCGGGUCCAACGCAUUUCCAAUGGAUAGACUCGGGUCCAAAGCAUUUCAAAUGGAUAGACUCGGGUCCAACGAUUUCAA